UGGGCAACCUGCCCUCAGCUCUGGGAUAACUCCAAGAAAUUGGGGCUAAUACCGGAUAUGACUGCUGACCGCAUGGUCUGGUGGUGGAAAGAUUUAUCGGCUGGGGAUGGGCCCGCGGCCUAUUAGCUUGUUGGUGGGGUAGUGGCCUACCAAGGCGACGACGGGUAGCCGGCCUGAGAGGGUGACCGGCCACACUGGGACUGAGACACGGCCCAGACUCCUACGGGAG
rnacentral:rRNA from 1 species